rnacentral:lncRNA from 1 species
AAGAAUGGAUUGAAAUCGACAUCCUCUUCUUCUUCCUCCUCAUCACUAUUUUCAUUCUCAUUCUCUCCCGCGACCAUAGGACUCUCGUCACUGGGUGAACCAUAUCGUGGUUCCUCCGGUUGGUCAGUCUCAGUCAUGCACGAAGGCAUCUUAAACGAGAAAUACGAAAAUGAUCCAAGGUAUUGUCCCUAAGGCCUAAAACCACAUUCCAACACACACACGCAAUUAACAAACCCGACGAAACUAAUAAGCGAUACCAAUCCAGGAGCACGAUUUCAAACCUAACCCAAAUCAAAGGAGUCCAAUGCUACGAAAUUCUCUGAAGCUUUAAUUCACGGAAAG